CUGGAUACACUCUUGUUCAAUGAUGAAGGCAGAAAAGAAAAGAAAGAAAAAGAAAAAGAAAGAAAGAGAAGAAAAGGAGAAUUGAUACACCCAUUUCCUUCUCUCAAAUGUUUGUUUUU
rnacentral:ribozyme from 13 species